rnacentral:rRNA from 1 species
AGUGAACGCUGGCGGUAGGCCUAACACAUGCAAGUCGAACGGCAGCACAGUAAGAGCUUGCUCUUACGGGUGGCGAGUGGCGGACGGGUGAGGAAUACAUCGGAAUCUACUUUUUCGUGGGGGAUAACGUAGGGAAACUUACGCUAAUACCGCAUACGACCUACGGGUGAAAUCAGGGGAUCUUCGGACCUUGCGCGAUUGAAUGAGCCGAUGUCGGAUUAGCUAGUUGGCGGGGUAAAGGCCCACCAAGGCGACGAUCCGUAGCUGGUCUGAGAGGAUGAUCAGCCACACUGGAACUGAGACACGGUCCAGACUCCUACGGGAGGCAGCAGUGGGGAAUAUUGGACAAUGGGCGCAAGCCUGAUGCAGCCAUACCGCGUGGGUGAAGAAGGCCUUCGGGUUGUAAAGCCCUUUUGUUGGGAAAGAAAAGCAGCAGGUUAAUACCCCGCUGUUCUGACGGUACCCAAAGAAUAAGCACCGGCUAACUUCGUG